GACGAACGCUGGCGGCAUGCCUAAUACAUGCAAGUCGAGCGAACAGAUGAAGUGCUUGCACUUCUGACGUUAGCGGCGAACGGGUGAGUAACACGUAAGGAAUCUACCUAUAAGCGGGGGAUAACAUUCGGAAACGGGUGCUAAUACCGCAUAAUAUCUUCUUCCGCAUGGAAGAAGAUUGAAAGACGGCUCUGCUGUCACUUAUAGAUGACCUUGCGGUGCAUUAGUUAGUUGGUGGGGUAAUGGCCUACCAAGACGAUGAUGCACAGCCGACCUGAGAGGGUGAACGGCCAAAUUGGGACUGAGACACGGACCAAACUCCUACGGGAGGCAGCAGUAGGGAAUCUUCCGCAAUGGGCGAAAGCCUGACGGAGCAAUGCCGCGUGAGUGAAGAAGGCCUUCGGGUCGUAAAACUCUGUUAUAAGAGAAGAACAAAUUGUAGAGUAACUGCUACAGUCUUGACGGUAUCUUAUCAGAAAGCCACGGCUAACUACGUGCCAGCCGCCGCCGUAA
rnacentral:rRNA from 1 species